rnacentral:rRNA from 1 species
UCUCUCUGAAUCUGCGAACGGCUCCGCAAACCAGUUGUAAACCACGGCGAACACGUCCCGGCUAUGGCGCAAGCCAGGGCUGGGGCAAAAAGGAUAACCCUGGUAAUUCUGAGGCUAAUACAAGAACGUAACUCCUGGUCGACCGGUUCGCUGGAAGACUGGGGGGCGUGCAACAGGCGCAAAGGGAUCCUAUGAUUAGACGCACGCUCUGACCACCAUACCAAACAGUCUUCAGCCAGCCCCUCACGGGGCAGGUAGUUGUCUGGGUGGCUUUCGCGGGGUGCUUCUGACCUAUCAACUAGAUGGCAGCGUAACGGACAUGCUAUGGUCACAACGGGUACAGAGGAUAAGGGUUCGAUCCUGGAGAGUGGGCCUGAGAGAUU